rnacentral:lncRNA from 1 species
CUGGAUACUGGGGAAGCAACGGGAGGCAAAAUUGGAUGUGGCCUUUCACGCACCUGGAGCAAGGAUUCAGCGUUUGUUCCCGCAGAUCCAUGACCCACCCCCACUGAAUUGAAAUGGAGGCCGAUGUUUACCGUGCCACCUCUGUGUACCUCUUUAGAGCUCUGCGUACUGCUUUUGUGCCAGAUGGGCAAGAAUAAAUGAAAGCAGCCAUUUCUGCUAGGGAGCAAUCAGAGCCUAAUAUUGAGCUCUUUGGAAACCGACUCAUAGCAGUCAUAGGCAAGGGCCACUUCCUUUAGGAAAUGAAUGAAGACAACUUGCUUUUCCUAAGCUAGGUUCCCCGUUUGUAUUUCUUGACAAGGGCUAAAUGUGUCAUACAAAGGACUGUUUUCAUUGUCCCUGUUUUUCACAGUUUCUUCCAGUCCCCACCAGCUUCUCUGCUGCAGGGAGUUUACCAGGAAACAGGUGCACAAAAGGAAGAACUUGCUGAGGGCCUGGCAAACUGGAAACUCAAUCCAGGUGGCCAAGGUCUAAUCUUCCCCUACACCAGGACUUUAAUGAUAUAUAAAAGCAGCAUGAAGGGCUCCUGACUGUGGAUUAAUUUGGAGAUGACUUUCUCUGUUGAAGAGUGGCAAGACUCUUGCAAGUUCUUAAAAAUGCACUUGUUUGGUAUGAGAAUGAAAAGCAGUGGCUGAAGAACCAGUCUUCAAUGGGCAAGGCUUCUCUGACACUGAGAUCUUCCCCGGCGGCUCUGAUCUGGGGGCUCCCUGUAGGUGCAAAGACCUGGUUCUUCAGACUCCAUCCAUGGAAGGAGGGAACACCAGUCGCAGGGAAGUGGGCUCUGCAUGGGGUUCCAGACACAGUAAAACAGGGCCUGGCACAGGUAGAAUGGGGGAAAAAGGGGCCCCAGUCAAAGGGCAGGGCAGCCUCAAAGUUGACCCCAAGCCUGGGACCAGGGGCUACUUCUGCUCCCUUCUGCACCCAGAGUCGGAAGAAACAGUUCAUUCCUCUUAACCCUUUCUUUGAAUCAUUCCUGCAACUUGGCAUCCCUGAAACCACAUAGGGAAAUCACUCCUGUUGUAAACCCUUUCUUGGUGGCCCCCUGUGGCAGCAGUGACUUAAAGUCUCAUCCCUCAUGGUAGUUGUGUUCUAUAAAGCUGCCAUGAACACUGAACUAGUAGAUGCUGAAUCGUUGCUCCUAGGAGAAGCAUAGAGUUAGAUUCCUGCUAGCCUCUGGUCAUGUUUUGUCAACUGAUCAGUACAUAACCUCGUUCUAUGUAUGUUUCUGUUGACAGAUGCCUUGUUUGAGGUAUAGUGCGAACCCAUUAGCACUGAACUCAGGACCAGCAACGCUGUAACUCAGGCCUGAAGGAAGCAUUUCUAGCACAUGAAUUUCCUCCGUAAGGCACCUCACAGCCUCUUGUGCCUGGGAACUCUAGCCAGCACUGCAACACGAUGCCUGGGGCCAUUAUAAAUGUGAAAUUACCAAAGAAACCCCACAAAAAUGUGAAAAUCAUGGCACUAAAUAGACCACAAAAAGAAUGCUUAUUUGCAGUAUGAGAACUGGAACCAGAAGGUAGGAUGUCAUUGUGUUCUUCCUCAGCACUGGGUGACUCAAAUUUCUCUCCACUCUGCCGGUGUCUUUGAGUGACCAGGAAAUUGCUGGGAAUAUUGAUUUUGGGAUAACAAAUAAAUUUUAUCGAGUAG